AAUAGAUACCCUGGUAGUCCAUGCCGUAAACGUUGGGAACUAGAUGUAGGGCCUGUUCCACGGGUUCUGUGUCGUAGCUAACGCAUUAAGUUCCCCGCCUGGGGAGUACGGCCGCAAGGCUAAAACUCAAAGGAAUUGACGGGGGCCCGCACAAGCGGCGGAGCAUGCGGAUUAAUUCGAUGCAACGCGAAGAACCUUACCAAGGCUUGACAUAUAGAAGAACGGGCGAGAGAUCGUCAACUCUUUGGACACUUCUAUACAGGUGGUGCAUGGUUGUCGUCAGCUCGUGUCGUGAGAUGUUCGGUUAAGUCCGGCAACGAGCGCAACCCUCGUCCUAUGUUGCCAGCACGUUAUGGUGGGAACUCAUGGGAUACUGCCGUGGUCAACACGGAGGAAGGUGAGGAUGACGUCAAAUCAUCAUGCCCCUUAUGUCUUGGGCUUCACGCAUGCUACAAUGGCCGAUACAAAGGGCUGCGAUACCGCGAGGUGGAGCGAAUCCCAAAAAGUCGGUCUCAGUUCGGAUUGGGGUCG
rnacentral:rRNA from 1 species